rnacentral:piRNA from 1 species
UUCCACCCUGCUGCUCUACAGUCCCCA